GCCGGACGCGGUGGCGCGCGCCUGUAGUCCCAGCUACUCGGGAGGCUGAGAUGGGAGGAUCGCUUGAGCCCAGGAGUUCUGGGCUGUAGUGCGCUAUGCCGAUCGGGUGUCCGCACUAAGUUCGGCAUCAAUAUGGUGACCUCCCGGGAGCGGGGGACCACCAGGUUGCCUAAGGAGGGGUGAACCGGCCCAGGUCGGAAACGGAGCAGGUCAAAACUCCCGUGCUGAUCAGUAGUGGGAUCGCGCCUGUGAAUAGCCACUGCACCCCAGCCUGGGCAACAUAGCGAGACCCCGUCUCU
rnacentral:SRP_RNA from 1 species